CUGGCUCAGGAUGAACGCUAGCGACAGGCCUAACACAUGCAAGUCAGGGGCAGCACAAGGAGCAAUCUGAGGUGGCGACCGGCGCACGGGUGAGUAACACGUAUGCAACCUGCCUGUAAGCGGGGAAUAACCCGUUGAAAGACGGACUAAUACCGCAUAAUACUAAAUUACUGCAUGGUAAUUUAUUUAAACAUUUAUGGCUUACAGAUGGGCAUGCGCAUGAUUAGCUAGUUGGAGAGGUAACGGCUCCCCAAGGCAACGAUCAUUAGGGGUUCUGAGAGGAAGGUCCCCCACACUAGUACUGAGACACGGACCAGACUCCUACGGGAGGCAGCAGCGAGGAAUAUUGGUCAAUGGACGAGAGUCUGAACCAGCCAAGUCGCGUGCAGGAAGAAUGUCCUAUGGAUUGUAAACUGCUUUUGCAGGGGAAUAAAGUGCAUCACGUGUGAUGUUUUGUAUGUACUCUGCGAAUAAGGAUCGGCUAACUCCGUGCCAGCCGCCGC
rnacentral:rRNA from 1 species